rnacentral:rRNA from 1 species
UACAGAGGGUGCGAGCGUUGUCCGGAAUUACUGGGCGUAAAGGGCGCGUAGGCGGCCUGAUAAGUAGGGGGUGAAAUUCCGUGGCUCAACCACGGAACGGCCUUCUAAACUGCCAGGCUUGAGCACGGUAGAGGCAGAUGGAAUUCCCGGUGUAGCGGUGGAAUGCGUAGAGAUCGGGAAGAACACCGGUGGCGAAGGCGGGUCUCUGGGCAGUAACUGACGCUGAGGAGCGAAAGCGUGGGGAGCGAACAGG